rnacentral:rRNA from 1 species
AGUCCUUUACUGACGCUAAAGCUCGAAGGUGCGGGUAUCGAACAGGAUUAGAUACCCUGGUAGUCCGCACGGUAAACGAUGGAUGCCCGCUGUUUGCGAUAUAGUGUGAGCGGCCAAGCGAAAGCGUUAAGCAUCCCACCUGGGGAGUACGCCGGCAACGGUGAAACUCAAAGGAAUUGACGGGGGCCCGCACAAGCGGAGGAACAUGUGGUUUAAUUCGAUGAUACGCGAGGAACCUUACCCGGGCUUGAACUGCAGCAGAACGAUUGAGAGAUCAUGAGGUCCUUCGGGACUGUUGUGGAGGUGCUGCAUGGUUGUCGUCAGCUCGUGCCGUGAGGUGUCGGCUUAAGUGCCAUAACGAGCGCAACCCCUCUCUUCAGUUGCCAUCAGGUAGAGCUGGGCACUCUGGAGACACUGCCACCGUAAGGUGUGAGGAAGGUGGGGAUGACGUCAAAUCAGCACGGCCCUUACGUCCGGGGCUACACACGUGUUACAAUGGGUGGUACAGAGCGUCGGCGGCCUGCAAAGUCCGUCCAAUCGCAAAAUCCAUCCUCAGUUCGGACUGGGGUCUGCAACCCGACCCCACGAAGCUGGAUUCGC